AAAAAUACUACGAUGUUUUUUUUCCAGUAACAAUAUUCCUUCAUCAACUCAUAACAUCAGUGUGCAACCUUGCAUUCUCAAAAGACCACUUAAAACACAAUAAUUUCUAUACAACACUAGAAAUAACAGACUUCACUCCAACAAUCUGAAUUCACAUAAUUUUUGUAAUCACAGACUUCUUUUGUCCAAAAACACAUAGCUCUUAAUAAACAACAAUCAUAAUCUUCCAAUAAUUCUUCAUAUAAUUCAAUCACUCAGUACUCCAAUUACAUAAUCAAUAACUCAUAA
rnacentral:lncRNA from 1 species